CCGAGAUAGAUAAUAGUCCUAUGCCUGGCUCUAGUUCGGAGUACAAAGAACCAAUUUUAUCUGCAGAUAAUACAAUUAACUCAACUAAUAAAGAAAUUAAAGCUGUUAUAGAUAUGCCUAAAAAUACUGAAAAGAAGGACAAAAAGGUCUCUCAUAAUAGAAGUGAACAAGGCCGUCAAGCUAUAAUAAACAGUAACAUAGAUUUUAAGAAAAA